UACGUAGGGUGCGAGCGUUGUCCGGAAUUAUUGGGCGUAAAGAGCUCGUAGGUGGCCUGUCGCGUCGGCUGUGAAAACUCGGGGCUCAACUCCGAGCUUGCAGUCGAUACGGGCAGGCUAGAGUUCGGCAGGGGAGACUGGAAUUCCUGGUGUAGCGGUGAAAUGCGCAGAUAUCAGGAAGAACACCCGUGGCUAAGGCGGCUCUCUAGUGCGGUACUGACGCUGAGACGCGAAAGCGUGGGGAGCGAACAGG
rnacentral:rRNA from 1 species